rnacentral:rRNA from 1 species
UACGGGGGGGGGCAAGCGUUGUUCGGAAUUACUGGGCGUAAAGGGCUCGUAGGCGGCCAACUAAGUCAGACGUGAAAUCCCUCGGCUUAACCGGGGAACUGCGUCUGAUACUGGAUGGCUUGAGGUUGGGAGAGGGAUGCGGAAUUCCUGGUGGAGCGGUGAAAUGCGCAGAUAUCAGGAGGAACACCCGUAGCGAAGGCGGCACUCUGGGCCGAUACUGACACUGAGGAGCGAAAGCGUGGGGAGCGAACAGG